CGGUCUUCUUUUUCUGAUAAGGUAAUUUUCCAAUCUGUAAAAUUAAUGGCUUCCUUUCUUUACUCUCGGGUGUUAAAAAAAAAGGAAGACAAUAAACAUGUCAACCUUGAACAUAUUAUCAACAUUCUCCGGAUGGCAGGAGAACAUUAUAAGCGAACACACCACGUGAACGAUAAAUGCUUUCGCGAGAGUUGCACGAUCCGUAAAACUAUUCUCGCGAAUCUUACGCGCACGUAAAUGUUGCAAACUUUUAUUUAUUGAUAAUAUGCAUCACUCUCGUAUUAUAAAAUUAAUGCGAGAAGAGAAGAAAUGGAAAUUUUUUGUGAAAGAAUUUUGUGCCUGAGACAAAAGAAAAUAACAAAAAUACGAUGAAGAGGAUUAAUUUUUGGUGAUCCAAAAUCAAUACCGGAUAAAUAAAUAAAAUACAAAAAGGUCUGGUGGAGGAUAUAAUAAGUGUUUUAAUGCAGCAAUUAAGAAUUUAAUGGAGUGUUGAGAACUUUACUAUUCAUGAUAUAAACGUUUUGAUACACCCGCGGGAGUUACAUCUUCUUAAUUCAUCUAAUUUUAUUGCGAUGAAAACGAAUAGCGGAAGUGUUAUUACAUUUUUAAAAUUCAUUUUUUAUUGCUUGAAAUACUAUUUUUAAGAUUGAAUUUUAGAUAUCGAAACAGGAAUAUUGUUGGCAAAAGAAUCGAAAUGUAAAUUUUGAAAAUAUAAAUCUCAGCAAGAAAUUUUUACUUUCUUGAAUUGUUAAAUAUUUUUGAAAUUUAAAAAUUUUUAAAUAGUGGUAAAUUUUUUUUGGUGGUAACUUGAAAAAGAAAAAAGUUUAUUGAAAAUAAAAUCAGUUAAAAUUUGUUCGGACAAGUUACACUUAUUUUCUUCACAUGACAAUAUGUACUCAUAUAUAAUUAGUCGUUGAACAAGUCAAUUAUUUCUACGCCAAUGAACAAGAAAAGUUUCUUCAACAGCCAACGGAACUGGAAGCACUUAACUUUUGUAAAAAUUAUCUAAAUUAUACUUUUUCUUGAAAAAUAAAAAUAUAAUGACAGUAGUAAUCGAAUAUUUUAAGGAUUCUCUUUAUAGUGUAUUUACUUCUCUUAUAACCCAAACAAAAAAAAAAUAAAUAAAAACAAAAAACAAAUCCCUACUUUCUAAUUGUCAUUUUCGAAACAAUUCAUGAAAGUAUCUCAUUAAGGAAAAGAGAAUUG